rnacentral:rRNA from 1 species
AAGGGGUACUAUCUUGCAGAUGAUAUAUACCCUCCUUGGUGCAUAUUUGUCAAAAGCAUCAAAGAACCCAAAACAAAAAAACAAUGUGAAUUUGCAAGGGUGCAAGAGGCAGCCCGAAAAGACAUUGAAAGAGCAUUCGGUGUUUUGCAAUGUAGGUUUGCCAUUGUCCGUGGUCCUGCUCGUUUUUGGGAUAAGAAAACCUUGAAGACCAUCAUGACAUGCUGUGUUAUCCUGCACAAUAUGAUUCUUGAAGAUGAGAGAGGAUUGAACUUAGAAUUCUUUUACGACAAUGUGGGUAGCCGUGUCAAACCAGCUAGAGACCCAAACCGCAUUAGAGCUUUUCUUCAGACAUACAAGGAGAUUGAAAAUGCAGACAUCCACUUUCAACUUCAGGAAGAUCUCAUUGAGCACCAU